AGCAAAUGCUCCUCCAGCAGCAAGCAGGAUUCAGCCUUUUAAGCUGGUCUUUCUCGCUCGGCCCUGAGGCCACCCCACACCUGCUUUGUUCCUGCAGGAAACAGCUCCGCUAGUUUCUAGAAACAUCUGAGACGCAGCUGACCUAACAGGUGGGAUUUCUGCCAGAGAGUGGAGCUUCCCGGGCCCCUCUUCCUGGGGAGAGGGUGGGGACCCACCUGAUGACCACGAUGAUGCCG
rnacentral:lncRNA from 1 species